UGGGGAAUAUUGGACAAUGGGCGAAAGCCUGAUCCAGCAAUGCCGCGUGAGUGAUGAAGGCCCUAGGGUUGUAAAGCUCUUUUACCCGGGAUGAUAAUGACAGUACCGGGAGAAUAAGCUCCGGCUAACUUCGUGCCAGCAGCCGCGGUAAUACGAGGGGAGCUAGCGUUGUUCGGAAUUACUGGGCGUAAAGCGCGCGUAGGCGGCUUUUUAAGUCAGAGGUGAAAGCCCGGGGCUCAACCCCGGAAUAGCCUUUGAAACUGGAAAGCUAGAAUCUUGGAGAGGUCAGUGGAAUUCCGAGUGUAGAGGUGAAAUUCGUAGAUAUUCGGAAGAACACCAGUGGCGAAGGCGACUGACUGGACAAGUAUUGACGCUGAGGUGCGAAAGCGUGGGGAGCAAACAGG
rnacentral:rRNA from 1 species